UACGUAGGCAGCAAGCGUUGUUCGGAAUUACUGGGCGUAAAGAGUGUGUAGGCGGUGCUCUAAGUUCGGUGUGAAAUCUCCCGCUUAACUGGGAGGGUGCGCCGGAAACUGGAGUGCUUGAGCGUGGGAGAGGAAAGCGGAAUUCCUGGUGUAGCGGUGAAAUGCGUAGAUAUCAGGAGGAACACCGGUGGUGUAGACGGCUUUCUGGACCAUAGCUGACGCUGAGACACGAAAGCGUGGGUAGCAAACAGG
rnacentral:rRNA from 1 species